AACAAUAUUGGGCAAACCGACCGAAAGGCAGGGACGCAAAGCCAUGGGUCUAAGGCAUUUAGCUAAGAUUGCCAGGCUGCAAAC
rnacentral:ncRNA from 1 species